GUCAAAUAAUAGAAACUAUUUCGUCCCUGGAUGCAACAGUGUUUAUGGAACUAUUACACUGAAGAAUAAAAGCUUGGGAAUCAAGAAACCAGAUAUAUUUAGAGUUCCAAAGGUGAGCAACAUUUAUAUUAUGCCUGAUCAUAUAUACGAAUUUAUAUAACUUUUCAGAAUGUCUGGAUUGUUAGUAAAUAAGAGAAUAUUUACUGUAUGCUUAUAAAAAAGCAAUAAAUUGGAAAUUAGUUAAAUAUUGCACAUAACUCAUGUGCAUCUGCAUUUCGUCCAUGAAAAUGGUAUGCAAUAAAGUAUGCAAUUGUUAGAUUUCAAAGUUAAAUAAAUUUCUGAAAUUAUACAAGAAUGAUAGAGUAUUUGCCCUUCUACUUCAUUUACAGAAAAGAAGAUAAACUCAUUCCCCCCAAGACUAUGCUGCAUGAUUGAGCGAAAACCUAACAGCAGGAUUCUGUUCUGCUAGAGAAAUGGAGACAUAGAUUUUCUCGAGGAGCACUCACAAAUACAAUUGAAGGUACACGGCGGCACAUUAAAACACAGCUACCCCAUUAUAACAGAAAUGGAGACUUUGCAUUGUAUUUAGUAGAAUACAUGUUCUCGAAACAAUGUGCAGCAGAAGAAUUGGACAUAGUCACAACAUUUUUAGAAACUGUUCAUGAAAUUGAAUGGUGACUUUUGCUUUGUUAUUCAAAAGUAUCAUUGAUAAGUAUUUGUGUAUAUGUUAGCAUUGUGAAGAUCUUAUCAAUAAAUUUUUAACAUAUAUGA